rnacentral:rRNA from 1 species
ACGAACGCUGGCGGCGUGCUUAACCCCUGCAAGUCGCACGGAAAGGCCCUGCUUUUGUGGGGUGCUCGAGUGGCGAACGGGUGAGUAACACGUGAGUAACCUGCCCUUGACUUUGAGAUAACUUCAGGAAACUGGGGCUAAUACCGGAUAGGAGCUCCUGCUGCAUGGUGGGGGUUGGAAAGUUUCGGCGGUUGGGGAUGGACUCGCGGCUUAUCAGCUUGUUGGUGGGGUAGUGGCUUACCAAGGCUUUGACGGGUAGCCGGCCUGAGAGGGUGACCGGCCACAUUGGGACUGAGAUACGGCCCAGACUCCUACGGGAGGCAGCAGUGGGGAAUAUUGCACAAUGGGCGGAAGCCUGAUGCAGCAACGCCGCGUGCGGGAUGACGGCCUUCGGGUUGUAAACCGCUUUCGCCUGUGACGAAGCGUGAGUGACGGUAAUGGGUAAAGAAGCACCGGCUAACUACGUG